GAUGAAUGCUGGCGGCGUGCCUAAUACAUGCAAGUCGAGCGGUAAGGCCCUUCGGGGUACACGAGCGGCGGACGGCUGAGUAACGCGUGGGAACAUGCCCCAAAGUGAGGGAUAACGCACCGAAAGGUGUGCUAAUACCGCAUAUGGUCUUCGGAUUAAAGGAUUUAUCCGCUUUGGGAGUGGCCCGCGUACGAUUAGAUUGUUGGUGAGGUAAACGGCUCACCAAGUCGACGAUCGUUAACUGGUCUGAGAGGAUGAUCAGUCAGACUGGAACUGAGACACGGUCCAGACUCCUACGGGAGGCAGCAGUAAGGAAUCUUCCACAAUGGGCGAAAGCCUGAUGGAGCAACGCCGCGUGCAGGAUGAAGGCCCUCGGGUCGUAAACUGCUUUAUGAGUGAAGAAUAUGACGGUAACUCAUGAAUAAGCACCGGCUAACUACGUGCCAGCAGCCGCGGUAAU
rnacentral:rRNA from 1 species